ensembl:lncRNA
UACGGUUAUCUUGCUACACAAGAAAAAAUUGGAUCUAGAAAGAAAGAAAAAAACCUGAGAAGUAAAACAAAAAAUGCAAGCAAACAACAACAGAAUGAGUAAAAAUGCUAUGUUGUGGCCCGCACUCAUUUCCCAUAGUCCUCUCUCUGGGGGUAGAUAACUCUCCCCAUUACUGAAUAAUUAGAACAGGUUUGAAUCAUAUCAUUGUUGAAAAGAGCCAUAUCUAUCAGAAUUGAUCAUCAUAUAGUCUUGUGGUUGCCAUGUAUAAUGAUCUCCUGGUUCUGCUUAUUUCACUUAGCAUCAGUUCAUGUAAGUCUCUCCAGGCCUCUCUGAAAUCAUGCUCCUGGUCGUUUCUCACAUAACAAUAAAAAUCCAUAACAUUCAUAUACCAUAAUUUAUUCAGCCAUUCUCCAAAUGAUGGGCACCCAUUCAGUUUCAAGUUUCUAGCCACUACAAAAAGGGAUGCCACAAACAUUUUUUGCACAUGUGGAUCCCUUCUUUCCUUUAAGACUUCUUUGGAAUACAAUCCCUGUAGAAACACUGCUGAAUCAAAUGGUAUGCACAGUUUGAUAACUUUUUGAGCAUAGUUCCAAAUUGCUCUCCAGAAAGGUUGGAUCUGUUCACAAUUCUACUAACAAUGUAUCAGUGUCUUAGUUUUCUAACAUUGGUCAUAAUCAUUUCUUGUCAUCUUAGCCAAUCUGGCAGGUGUGUAGGGAUAUCUCAGAGUUGUCUUAAUUUGCACUUCUCUGAUCAAUAGUGAUUUGGAGCACCUCUUCAUAUGACUACAAAUAGUUUCAGUUUCUUUAUCUGAAACUUGUCUGUUCAUAUCCUUUGGUCAUUUAUCAAUUGGAGAAUGGCUUGAUUUCUUAUAAGUUUGAGUCAAUUGAGUGAAUUCAAAAUUCCAAUUUUGGAAAUGAGGCCUUUAUCAAAACUUUGGAAUGUAAAAAUGUUUUUGCAGUUUAUUGGUUCUCUUCUAAUCUUGUCUGCAUUAGUUUUAUUUGUAGAAAAACUUUUUAACUUAAUAUAAUCAAACUUAUCUAUUUUGUGAUCAAUAAUGAUCUCUAGGUCUUCUUUAGUCACAAAUUCCUUCUUCCUCCACAGGUCUGAGAGGUAAACUAUCCUAUGUUCUUCUAAUUUACUUAUAAUAUUAUUCUUUAUGUCUGGAUCAUGAACCCAUUUGACCUUAUCUUGGUAUAUGGUCUUAAGUGCAGGUCAAUGCUUAGUUUCUUCAAUACUAGUUUCCAUUUUUCUCAGCAGUUUUUGUCAAACAGUGAAUUCUUACUUCAAAAGCUGAGGCCUUUGGCUUUGUCAAACACUAGAUUGCUAUAAUUAUUGACUAUUUUAUCCUGUGAACCUAACCUGUUCCACUGAUCAACUACUCUAUUUCUUAGACAGUACCAAAUAGUUUUGAUGACUGCUGUUUUAUAAUAUAGUUUUAUAUCUGGUAUACCUGGGCCACUUUCAUUUGAUUUUUUUUUCAUUAAUUAAUCCCCUUGAAAUUCUUGACCUUUUGUUCUCCAGGUGAAUUUUGUUAUUUUUUUCUAGGUCAGUAAAAUACUUUCUUGGGAGAAUGAUUUGGUAUAGCACUAAAUAAAUAGAUUAGUUUAGGUAGCAUUGUCAUCUUUAUUAUAUUUACUCGACCUAUCCAAGAGCACUUAGUAUUUUUUCCAAUUGUUUAGAUUUGACUUUAUUUAUGUGGAAAGUGUUUUGUAAGUUUGCUCAUAUAGUUUCUUGGUAGAUAGAUUCCCAAAUAUUUUAUACUAUUGACAGUUAUUUUAAAUGGAAUUUCUCUUUGUAUCUCUUGCUGUUGAAUUUUGUUCAUUGUGCACAAAAAUGCUGAUGAUUUCUGUGGAUUUAUUUUAUAUUCUGCAAAUCUCCUAAAAUUGUGGAUUAUUUCUAAUAGCUUUUUAGUAGAUCCUCUGGGGUUCUCUAAGUCUACCAUCAUAUCAUCUGCAAAGAGUGAUAAUUUGGUUUCCUCUACCUACUCUACUCUAUCUACCUACUCUAAUUCCUUUAAUCUCUUUUUCAUUCCUUAUUGCCAAAGCUAGCAUUUCAAAUAAAAUAUUAAAUAGUAAUAGUGAUAGUGGGCAACCUUGUUCCACUCCUGAUGUUAUUGGGAAUAGUUCCAGUUUAUCCCCAUUAUAUAUAAUGCUUACUGAUGGUUUUGAAUAGAUGCUACUGGCUAUUUUAAGGAAAAGUCCAUUUAUUCCUAAACUCUCUUGUGUUUUUAAUAGGAAUGGCUGUUGGAUUUUAUCAAAUGCUUUUUCUGCAUCUAUUGAGAUGAUCAUAUGGUUUUUGUUAAUUUGAUUAUUAAUAUAGUCAAUUAUGCUAAUAGUUUUCCUAAUAUUGAACCAGUCCUGCAUUCCUGGUAUAAAUUCUGCUCGGUCAUGGUGUAUUAUCCAAGAGAUGAUUUUCUGUCAUCUUUUUGCUAAUUUUUUUUAAGAUUUUUGCAUUAAUAUUCAUUGGGGAGAUUGGUCUAUAAUUUUAUUUCUCUGUUUUCAUCCUACCUGGUUUAGGUAACAGUACCAUGUCUGUGUCAUAAAACAAAUUUAGUAGGAGUCUUUCAUUCUUUAUUUUUUUCAAAUAGUUUCAGGGGUCCUCAGACUUUUUAAAUAGGGGGCCAGUUCACUAUCCCUCAGGCUGUUGGAGGCCCAGACUAUAGUAAAAUCAAAAACUUUGUUUUGUGGGCCUUUAAAUAAAGAAACUUUAUUGCCCUGGGUGAGGGGGAAUAAACGUCCUCAGCUGCAGAAUCUGGCCCUAAGGCCAUAGUUUGAGGACCCCUGGUUUAUUUGGUAUUGCAGUUAAUUGCUCUUUAAAUGUUUGGUAGAAUUCACAUGUAAAUGCAUGUAGUCCUGGGGAUUUUUUUUUCUUAGGGAGUUGAUUCUUGUUCUAUUUCUUUUACUAAAAUGGGACUAUUUAAGCAAUUUACUUCCUCCUCUGUUAAUUUGGACAACCUAUAUUUUUGUAGGUAUUCCUCCAAUUCACUUAGUUUAUCAAAUUUAUUGGCAUAAAUUUGGGCAAAAUAACUCCAAAUUAUUGCACUAAUUUCCUUUUUAUUGGUAGAAAUUUCUCCCUUCUCAUUUUUGAAACUAACAAUUUGAUUUUCCUCUUUCCUCUUUCUAAUUAAACUAAAGAUUUACAUAUUUUGUUGUUUUUUUUCCCAUCAAACCAAUUCUUAGUUUUAUUUAUUAAUUCAAUAGUUUUUUUUUACUUUCAAUUUUAUUAAUUUCUCCUUUUAUUUUUAGUAUUUCAAGUUUGAUAUUUGAUUGGGGGUUUUAAAUUUGUUCUUUUUCUAGCUUUUUUAGUUGCAGGCCCAACUCAUUGAUCUUUUCUUUCUCUAUUUUAUGCAAAUAGGCAUCUAGAGAUAUAAAAUUUCCUCUUAUUACCACUUUGGCUGCAUCCCACAAAUUUUGGUAUAUUGUCUCCUUAUUGUCAUUCUCUUAGAUGAAAUUAUUUAUAGUGUCUAUGAUUGCUGUUUAACCCAUUCAUUCUUUAGGAUGAGAUUAUUUAGUUUCCAAUUACUUUUUGGUCUAUUUUCUCCUGGUAUUUUAUUGAAUGUAAUUUUUAUUGCAUCAUAAUCUGGAAAAAUGCAUUAAUAUUUCUGCCUUUCUGCAUUUGAUUUUGAGGUCUUUAUGUCCUAAUAUAUGGUCAAUUUUUGUGUAGGUUCCAUGGACUGGCGAGAAGAAAGUGUACUCCUUUCUGUCUCUAUUCAAUUUGCUCCAAAGAUCUAUGAUACAGUAUUUCUAGUAUUCUAUUUACCUCUUUACCUUCUUUCUUAUUUAUUUUGUGGUUUUGAUUUAUCUAGUUCUAAGAGAGCAAGGUUGAGAUCUCCCACUAUUAUAGUUUUGCUAUCUAUUUCUUCUUGCCUAUUUCUUCUUGUUUAUUCUCUUCUCUCUUAACUUCUUCUUUAGAAAUUUUUAUGUUAUACCACUUGGUGCAUAUAUAUUUGGUAUUGAUAUUGUUUCAUUAUUUAUGUUACCCUUUAGCAAGAUGUAGUUUCCUUCUUUAUCUCUUUUAAUUAGAUCAAGUUUUGCUUUUGCUUGAUCUAAGAUCAGGAUGGCUACCCCUGAUAUUUUGACUUUACCUGAAGCACAAUAAAUUCUAACCUUUUACCUUUACUCUGUAUUACUCUGCUUUAAAUGUGUUUCUUGUAAACAACAUAUUGUAGGAUUCUGGUUUUAAUCCAGUCUGCUAUCCACUUCUGCUUUAUGGGAGACUUCACCCCAUUCACAUUUACAGUUAAAACUAAUUUUGUAUUUCCUGCCACCUUAUUAUCCCCAGAUUUUCUCUUUUCUUUUCCCCUUCCCCUCCUCCCAAGUAUUAAUUCAUGAGCACCUCUUGCCUCAAGCAGCCCUUCCUCUGUAGAAUCCUUCCCCUUUUAGAGUUCCUCCUCCUUUCUUAUACCUUUCCCUGACUAUUUCUGAAUUCCCUUCUCUUUAGCUUACCCUUUCUCUUUUCACCUUUCCCCUUCCACUUUUUUAUAAGGUAAGAGAAAUUUCUCUGUAAAUCAAAUUUGUCUAAUAUUUUCUCUUUGAGCCAAAUCUGAUGAGAGUAAGAUUCACACAAUGUUCAUCUUUCACUCUUCUUUCCCUCAAUUAGAAUAGGUUUCCUCUGCCUCUUGCUGAAAUGUAAUUUCUCUCAUUUUACCUCCACUUUCCCCUUUUUCCAGUACAAUCCCCCUUUCCACCUCUUGUUCCUUUUUUAUAACAGUAAAAUCAAAUUAUAUAUGCACUUUCUAUGUAUAUCCAUAACAGAAAUACAGUUCUCAAGAGUUCUUUUUACCUUUUUAUGCUGCUCUUGAGUCCUAUAUUUGGAGGAAAUUUUUUGUUUAGCUCUGGUCUUUCCAUCAGAAAUAAAUCGAAUUCACCUGUUUCAUUGAAUGCCCAUCUUCUUCCCUGGAAGAAAAUGCUCAGUUUAGCUGGGUGGUUUAUUCCUGGCUGCAUUCCAAGUUCCUUUGCCUUUUGGAAUAUCACAUUCCAGGUCCUUCUUUCCUUUAAGAUAGAAGCUGUUAGAUCCUGAGUAAUCCUCAUUGUGGCGUCCUGUUUUUUUUGACUGUUUGUAAUGUUUUUUCCUUGGUCCAAUAGUUCUGAAAUAGCCAUGCUAUUCUGUGGAAUUUUAAUUUUGAGGUCUUUUUCAUGUGGUAUUCAGUGAAUUAUUUCAAUGACUAUUUUAUCUUCUGAUUCUAUGACAACAGCGCAAUUCUCUUUGAUGAUUUCCUGAAAAUAGUGUCUAGGUUCUUUUUUUCAAUCAUGGUUUUCAGGGGAGUCCAAUAAUCCUCAGACUGUUUCUCUUAGAUCUAUUUUCCAGGUCAGUUCUUUUCCCAAGUAGGUAUUUUACUUUUUUCCUGUAUUUUUUUCAUUUCUUUUUGGUUUUGUUUGACUGACUCUUCAUGUCUCAGGAAUACACAGUUUUAUAGCACUUUGGAUAUAGGUCUAAACCAGAACUGUUGAAUCAUUUCAUAACCACCAACAAUAUGUUAGUGUCCUAGCUUUCCCACAUCCCUUCCAACAUUUAUUAUUAUUUUUCCUGCCAUCUUAGCCAAUCUAAGAGGUGUAAGUUAGUACCCCAGAGUUGUUUUAAUUUGCAUUUUCUUACUCAAUAGUGAUUUAGAGUAUUUUUUCAUAUGCAGUUAAUUUUUCUUUAAAUGUUUGAUAUAAUUGACAUGUAA